UACGGAGGAUGCGAGCGUUAUCCGGAUUUAUUGGGUUUAAAGGGUGCGUAGGCGGCUUUUUAAGUCAGCGGUGAAAUUUUGCAGCUUAACUGUAACAGUGCCGUUGAUACUGGGGAGCUAGGAUUUGGUUGCUGUGGAUGGAAUGUGUGGUGUAGCGGUGAAAUGCUUAGAGAUCACACAGAAUAUCGAUUGCGAAGGCAGCUCACAAAGCCAAGAUUGACGCUGAGGCACGAAAGUGUGGGGAUCAAACAGGA
rnacentral:rRNA from 1 species